UGCGGGGCUGGUGCUCUAUCCACUGUGGCACUUCACUGCCCCUGGACUCCGCAUUGUUAAGUGACCCACUGGCCUUCCCUGUGGCCAGCUGGGCCUCAUCACAGUGCAAGAGGAAUUCCCCUCCCUACCAAAGGGCCAGGCCUGCUUUUUUAGACUGCCCUUUUUGGACUGGGGGCACAUCUGGACGGAGUUCAAGGGAGACUCCUUGGGAGGGAGAGCUGAUAGCUGGUCCUUUACUCCUUGGGCAGCCAGUGCCUCUGCAGUGGGGGGGGGGGUCCCUGACCACAGGUGUGGCCACACCUCUACAUCCCAGGGGGAAGUGGAGUGGCUUAGGCAGUUAGCCAGUCUGCCUCCUUUUCCUUAAUAUUUACCUGCCCAGGACUGGUGUGAGGUUGAAAUAAGGUAACAUACUUUUAGGAUAGUGCUGAGCACACACUAGGCAUUUUACUAAAUCCUCCUCUGCUGACUUUGCUCUUGUUCCCUUUCUACCUCCUGGCUGCCCAGCCUUGGCGGCGGCAGCGUCCAAACUGACCUGUGGGCAGGAAUUGGCUGUUUUUAACUUUUAACUUGUGGGACAGUUGGCUGUCUGCAUUGGCAUUUCCUUGGCAGGUGUUCCUAGGAGGGAGUCUGACCAAGGAGGGGCCUUUCAGCUCCCAUCACUAUGAUGCUGAGUUGAUUCACCUCUCUCACUCCAUUGAGAUCUCUUCAAUCAGUUAGCAAGUGGGUGUUUACCCUCUCCAGGCUGCAAUUCUGACUCUCACCUACACAGGACCGCCUCCGCUAUGCCAUAGAAACUUCUUCCUUCUGGAAGCUCAGACCAGACAUCGGAAGUACCGUCCUUCCCUGGGGACUCCCUUUCUAAUUGGUUAGCUCCUCCCAGAACCUCCAAUUUAAGGAAGAGGUCCAGGAUGUCUUCUCUCUCCAGGCAGCAUUACUAUCACAGGACUCUUCCAUAGCCCCAAGCCACACAUCAUCUUCCCUUCCUUAUAUGAGUUGUCUCACGUUCCCCAACAUAACCCCCAAGUGUAAGCUUGUUGAGAGCGGGAUUGGCUUUCGACUUCUGUUUGUAUUCCCAGCGCUUUGCACCGUGCCUAGCACCACCGUAAGCACUUAAAUGCUUGUUGAGGGAUCAUCCUUAGAGUAGCCUUGAAUACAAUGCCUCACUUUCCUCAUCUGGAAAAUAGGGACGAUACAGAACACCUGCUUGGAAGGAAUGAUGGAAAAGCCCCUCUUGGUACGUGAACUUCUGGUUGGAUUUAGGAGCACACGGAGAUCUUUCUAUGGACCUCUCCGGGCCAUGUGAUUUGGGGGGGGUGCCAAUUGGGGUUAAGUGAUUUGCCCAGGGUCACCCAGGUAGUAACAAGUGUUUGGUCUGAGGCCGGAUUUGAACUCAAGUCCUCCUGACUUCAGGGCCGAUGUUCUAUCCACUUCGCCACCUAGCUGCCCCUGGGCCAUGUGAUUUCAAGGGGAGAAGGGAGUUCCCCUUUUGUGCUUGUAUGUCCAUUCCUAGCCCGUGCCCUUCGCCAAAUAAAUGCUUAUUGCACCAUAGCCUCAGA